rnacentral:tRNA from 1 species
GGAAAAGUCGCUAUAGGUAAGGCAAGAUAUUUGCUAAAUAUUGUGUUUCAACACUUGAUGGUUCAAAUCCAUUCUUUUCCG